ensembl:lncRNA
AUAAUAUAUUAAAUAUUAUAUUAUUUUUAAAAGUAUGUAUCCUACUUAUUAUUAGUAGUAGUAGUAUGAUUGUUGUUGUUGUUAUUGUAUCUCUCUAGGUCCAUGCAGUUUUGAGAAUGGACAGUGUCAAUGGAGUGAUAUAAGUGUGGGUCCUAACAAAUGGCAAUGGGUGAAGGCCUCAAACAACACAGACCUGCCCACUGACCAUACCACUGGAACAGGUAAUUCAAGGCUACAUCAAUCCAUUAACAAUUACAUAAAAUACAUUUAAUUAAUCUUUCUUUUUACCCUUUACAUUUCCUCAGGGCAUUACAUGCAGAUGUAUAUCAUGGAUCCAUCACAGAACAAGGCUAUGUUUCAGAGUCCAUCCCUGCCUAUCACCUCUGCAUGCUGUCAGCUUCUGUGAGUUCAUUUGUAAUGCUGAUGUGCAAAACUGCUGACAAAACUUUCAAUAAAAAAGGUAAAGUAAAAUGUUGUUGUAAAACAGACAGAAACUUCCAUUACACAAUAUUACAUGACACUGAGCUGUCCUCUUUUGUUUAUCUCUUGCACACUAGGUUUCACUUCCACAUGGGUGCAGGAAAUGCAGGCAAUCUCAGCAUGAUCCUGCAGAAGGGUGAGGAGGAUAGGAAGCUGCUUUGGUCACGAUCCAUCAGCACUUCAACUCAGUGGGUUCCAGAACACUUACCACUGGGCAAACAAGACCAGCCUUACAGGUUACAUUACAGCUGGCUUUUAAUUCAUCAAGAGCUCCAGUCACAGCACAACGAGGGAUACGGCUCUCCUCUGUCUCCCCCAACUGGACCUGAUGGGUAUUGCUUCACAUUCUGGUAUCACAUGUUCGGAGCAACAGUGGGAUCAUUAAGAAUGUCUAUACAUGACAUUACAUCCGAUCUCAUCACAUCAGUAAGACUCACAAGAAUAAUAUUUUAGGGCAUUUUUAUGGGUUUAUCUGCUUACACAUGUAAGAAAUGCUUUUAAAGUAAAAUGUAAAUGCUUUACUCUUAUAGUAAAUGUUUUACUAUAAAAUAUGUUUUAUAAUAACCAGAAUGUUUCUUUUUUUCGCUCCUAAAACUGUAGAUGUGGCAAAGGAAAGGAAGGGUUCUCAGGGAACUGAAUGACAGGUGGCUCAGAACAUGUGCAACUGACAGAAAUUCAUCAGAUAUUAAUUGAGGCUUCAGUUGGAGGGCUGUCUGGUCACAUUGCUGUAGAUGAUUUAUCUGUCACUAAAGGUGCCUGUACUACCAACCACAGGUAAUUAAUAACAUAGCUUAUUAAUUUGGUCUGUUGUUUUUCACAGUGUCCUGUUGAAAUGUCCUCCAUGCUUGCUAGAGCACCACAAGCAUUUGACACAGCUGUAACAUAAUGUUGUAUUUAUCCAUCUAUAUGUUGUCUUCAAUAUCAAACUUUAACUGUCAGCUUAGUGACAAAUUUAGGGUAUUUAAUUCAUGUCAAAAGCAACUUGAUUAAAUAUACCAUGCAAAAAUGUGAGCCUGGAGAGGG